GGAUGUAAACAAAACUCGACUGCGCUAUUUUUGCUUAGUUUCUUCUAGAAUGUUUCCUUAAUUGCUAAUCAAAAAUUGGCUCUUUUUCGAUAAGAUUUAAAAUUUUUGCUUAUAUUGUAUUUUUGUUUUGUGGACUGCAUAAAGACAGAAAUUUCUUUGAAUGAGGCCAAUGAGUGAGAAACUGGAUACUGAUGCGAAUGAUUCGAACACUGCAUCAAAUCCUGAAAAUGCCGCGAAUGAAAACGGGGAUACAAGGGAAGAAUCUAUAGAAAAUGAAACUACAGACGAGCCCGCAGAAAAUCCGGUGGAAGCUGAUGGAGAAGCAUGUAAAACUAGCGAAAAUGUUGAACGGCAAGAGUCCCAGGAAAGCUUUCAGGCUGAGAAUGAUGCAGAAAAUGUGCUGAGUGAGGAAUCAGUUGAAAAUUUGAAGCACCAGUCUUCUACAGAAACUGUAAAACAACUUUCUAUUGAUAGAGACAAAGAUGAUGAUAAAUCUGAUUGGUGGUCAGUUAACUACCAAAGCUUGGAAGAUGAUAAAGAUGAUCGUCGUAUCGAGGAUAUGGAUGGUGAUCCACAGAAGCUGAUAUUAUGGGCUGCAGAAAAGAACGAAUUAGAAACAAUGAAAACAUUACUUGAAGAAGAUCCAAAUCUUGUAAAUGCAAGAGAUAAUGAUUUAUACACUCCUCUUCAUAGAGCUUCCUAUAGUAACAAUGUUGAAGUGAUUAAAAUGUUAUUAUCUUAUGAUGCGGACAUCAGUGCAAAAACUAGAGAUGGUUGGGAGCCAUUACAUUGUGCUUGCAAAUGGGAUAGCAUUGAAGCUGUUUCUCUGCUGUUGCAAAAUGGAGCGGAUGUAAAUGCUCAGACAGCGGGUCAUAUUACUCCUUUACACCUUGCUGCCUCCAAUGCUGCUGGAAGGAGAACUCUUGAACUGUUGCUGUGGCAGCCUUAUAUUGAUCCAAAUGUUAAGAAUGAUGCAGGCGACACUGCUUACGAUAUUGCUUAUCGUACAGGUCCCUUAGGUGCCUUGUUUGAAAUAUUAGAGGAAUCUGUUAAUGUCUAUUAAUAUUGUUGAAAAAAUGCCAUCAUAUAUUAGGGAUGAAUGCACAUUGAGGGCUACUGUUUCUGACUGAAAAGAAGAAUACAAGUAACAACUUACUCAAAUUGAAAGAAUAUAUAUUUUGAACACUAAUGGCAGCUGAAAUUCAUCAUUCUUUUAACUUUAAGGUUAUAAUAAAAUUUGCCUGCUUGUGUUUGGAUUGCUGAUAGAGGAAUUUUAUGAAGCCUUGCAAAUAGUAUUAUACUGUAAUCAAUCUUUUCCAAAAGAUUAGAAGAAAUAAUUUGAGAGAGAUUUCACAUGUUCCUUGUUUUUAUAAGAAUUCAUGUAUAUUGUGCAAAUUGUUCACUGUCUGAAAAAAAAUGUGAAAAACAAUCUGAUAUUACAGUUGUGUAGUAUGUGAUUAAUUAUUAUGUGUGCAUAGUGUAUGAUUUAAUCAUACAUUAAAAUGCUCAGAAUCUUGUAGCACAUUUUGAAAAUCUUCAAUCGUACAAUUUUAUGUUAGUGUUACAUUACACUAUAUGCCAGUGAAGGUUUCAAAUGUUGCGUCUUGGUCAUAGAUGGCAGCUUAUAGAUUGUUUAUUGUUAAAUUUGUGUGUUGAUUUAUGUGACUUUGUUCCAUGUUGCCAAUAUGCCAUGUAUAGUUGAAAAAAUAA